UAUCCUCUCAAGGUUACUCUGACCCCAUCCCUCUCCUCUCCCUCCUCCUGCCCUAGGGAAGCAAGAGAGGGUGGGGGUAUGCAGGGAGAAAAGCAAAAACCUCCUGACCUUGUCUGCUUGCCAGGGGCUAGAGAUAGGAGAGAAAUCGGGAGGAGCAGGAAGGGUAGGGCCCUCCCGGAGGUGGGGCCAGCCCUUUGCAGGGUUGAGGGGCUGCCCCAGAGUCAGUUGCUGGUCCGGGUCUGGCUCCCCAGGCUGGCUUGCUGCCUGGGAACAAGGCUUGUUUACAAGCUGGUCAGGAGGAGGGAUGGGCAGUAGUAGCAGCUAGAAUCCCAAGGGACCAGCUUGCUCCCUGCCCUCCCGUCCUCGCUCCCAUCCCCAAGUCACAGGAAAGGAAAGUCCAGAAGAGGAGUGGGGGUGGGGGGGGGUAGGGCAUCGGGCAAAACAUCAAGCGUCACUUCUGCACCCUGGUCUCUGUCAACUCUGGGUGAGCUGAGCCACUGUGGGCAAGUCAGCUCUCUCUCUGCGCUUCAGAAAUAGGAGAAGUUGCCUGAGAAGCUCCCUUGUCCCCUCCAAGUUAACACUGGACAUAACAUCAAGAAAUAACUCCCCCAUCUCCCCUCUUUCUUUACCCUCCUUUCUUCCCUUCUGCUUCCUUAGGGAAUCAACUCUGCUUUUUUGGCCUCUGAGUCAGCCCAGAGAAGAUGUACCCUUUUGGGAGCAUCUGCUUGUUUGGGGAGCUAAGCACAGUGGUGUAGGAGUUAUAUAAUAGAUAGCAGGUAGGAUCUGAGAUCCUAAUCAAAUAGCCAUUCCUGGGCAUAGAAAAAAUGAGGCUAGUCCUAAAGGAAAUCUUGCAGACAAGAAGGGACAGGCCUAAGGUUGGCCAUUCUAACUGGCUUGGCAGAUGCCAAAAUCUCCCUCCCAGGACCUUGGUUGGUAGAAUCGAUAGCCAAGUGAGGUGGCGUUAGGGACAGCCAGCUCCUACUGGCAACAUCUGUAGCUCUAAGCCCUGGGGGCCCCAGGUUCUGGCCUAACCUACCUUUCCGUCUCCAGAUUCAGAGGGCCAAAGGGCCCUCUCUACUCCUACUCUACCCACUUCACCCCCGUUAUACAGACGAACAUCUGAGGAAAGAGGUGGCCGACCUUGGCCACUCAAUGGAGGAAUCCGCACUUCAAGAAGUUUAGGUGAAAGACACACUAAAGACAAAGAUCUCACGCUGUCACGAUGUCACGAUGUGUCACGAUGUCAUUCGUGGCACACGUGCAGAGUCUGGGGAGUCCGUGACUUGGGUUUCGAUCUGGGCUCCGCCAUUUGCUUCUCCUAAGACGUCAGCAAGUCCCUUGCAUGUGAAGUGGGCACUUAAUAUUUGUUGAAUGAAUGAGACCUGACCUUCGCAA